rnacentral:rRNA from 1 species
CAGCCGCCGCGGUAAUACGUAGGGUCCGAGCGUUGUCCGGAAUUAUUGGGCGUAAAGGGCUCGUAGGCGGUUUGUUGCGUCGGGAGUGAAAACCCAGGGCUUAACUUUGGGCUUGCUUUCGAUACGGGCAGACUUGAGGCAUUGAGGGGAGAACGGAAUUCCUGGUGUAGCGGUGAAAUGCGCAGAUAUCAGGAGGAACACCGGUGGCGAAGGCGGUUCUCUGGCAAUGUUCUGACGCUGAGGUGCGAAAGCGUGGGGAGCAAACAGGAUUAGAUACCCCUGUAGUCCCUGUCUCUUAUAC